rnacentral:lncRNA from 1 species
GUUGGAAUAGGGUCCAGUAUGCAGCUUGAAGGUUUAGAGGCCAUGAUUAUUUUCAUCAUUGUGUCAAGAGAUAUAGUACUAAAACACUUUAGUAUCUCCCUUGAUCCUAGGUCCUGGCAGAGUUGUGUAGACUCAGGACAAUGGAGUUUUGGAGGAAUACGCAGAUUUAAAGAGGAGUCUGUAAUUUGCUUUCUAAUGAUCAUGAUCUUUUCCUCAAAGAAGUUCAUGAAUUCAUUACUGCUGAAGUGAAAGCCAUCCUCCAUUAGCGAAGGCUCCUUUUUAGUUAGCUUUGCGACAGUAUCAAAAAUACAUUUCGGAUUGUUCUUAUUUUCCUCAAUUAAGUUGGAAAAAUAGGGUGAUCGUCAGUGUUCGGCUUCAUUCAUUUGUCAGAUAACUAUGAAAUCUGACAUAUUAUUUCUCAAGUCCUAGAUUACCAAACUUUUGUUUUCUUUGCCAUAGAGUGAACUCGACGUGACGUCGUUACAGCGCGCCAAACGGGUUUCGUCUCUCUUACAGAAGAGACUGAGAAGUACCUCUUUCUCUAACCGGGUUUUUAACGUUUCACGUUGAUAUCAGCAGUCUGUGUGUCACUCGCCGUCUGAUGAAAGGUUGUUAGGAUGCGAUAAGCGUAUUCUAGUGGAGAAAGUGUCCAAAAUAAACCUUUAUUUCGAGUGCGAAGACAGGACAACACGCCACGGCACUAGUAACGUUAGUUACUAGCAAUAACGGAUCUCUGGUUUUAUCGAAGGCAGACAGCUUGUGACUCCUCGAGAGAUCUCCGUCCGAAAAAACUGCUCUCAGGAUGUCCGGUCCCUCCUGUCCUCUCAUCUGAAGACCGUAGGAGAGAAGUCUAGUUUAGUGAUGAAACAGGACAUGUUGACCAGAGGGGGUAACACGGGUACACUCCUGCCAGGGAGGAGAGACUCUAUGGGGGUAUCGCUGCUAGGCAGCACCCCCUCUUCCUCCUCCACCACCCUCUCUUCCUCCUCCAACUCUUCAAUCUCCUCCCUCUCUUCUUCCAUCUCUUCAUCUUCCUCUGGGGAAGAAAGGAGAAAGGGAGGUGGUGAGGAGUUUAUUGGCAGAGAGGAGGAAGAGGGGGAGGUGGUCAGCAUUUCCAUAGUUACCAUAGCGGAGGAGUCCUGCUCCUCGGAACCGUUCGGAACUGUCGGCGGUCACGUCGAGGUAACAGCAAAUGAGAGCGCGGCUAGGGAAAGAGAUGGCCAAUCAAAAACCUCCCACAGUACCCAGACUGAAGAAGAGGGGGUGCGUAAUGGAGUGGAAGAGGAGGAAGGUAGAAAGGAGGAUGAUGAGAAGGAGCAGGGAGAUGAAGGUGAGGAGGAGGAGGCAGAGGAGACGGAUGAAGAGAGAAGGAACCAGGUGUUUGUCUCGGAUGAGAACCCUGAAACGCCUUCCGCACUCCUCAACAUCAAGGUAAGAACCCACCUCUCUCCCCUUCGAGCCUAAUUCAGAGUCCAGAGACACCAUAGUCCGGAAUCCCAUUGUGACAUACAGUGGCAAGAAAAAGUAUGUGAACCUUUUGGAAAAUACCUGGAUUUCUGCAUAAACUGGUCAUAAAAUUUGAUCUGAUCUUCAUCUAAGUCACAACAAUAGACAAAACACAGUCUGCUUAAACUAAUAACACACAAACAAUUAUAUGUAUUUCCAUGUCUUUAUUGAACGCACCGUGUAAAAAUUCACAGUGCAGGGUGGGAAAAGUAUGUGAACCCUUGGAUUUAAUAACUGGUUGACCCUCCUUUGGCAGCAAUAACCUCAACCAAACGUUUUCUGUAGUUGAGGAUCAGACCUGCACAACGGUUCAGGAGGAAUUUUGGACCAUUCCUCUUUACAAAACUGUUUCAGUUCAGCAAUAUUCUUGGGAUGUCUGGUGUGAACUGCUCUCUUAAGGUCCUGCCACAGCAUCUCAAAUCGGGUUGAGGUCAGGACUCUGACUGGGCCACUCCAGAAGGUCUAUUUUCUUCUGUUGAAGCCAUUCUGUUGUUGAUUUACUUCCUGUGUUUUGGGUCGUUGUCCUGUUGCGUCACCCAACUUCUGUUGAGCUUCAAUUGGCGGACAGAUGGCCUUAUAUUCUCCUGCAAAAUCUCUUGAUGAACUUGGGAAAUCAUUUCUCCAUCGAUGAUCACAAGCUGUCCAGGCCCUGAGGCAGCAAAGCAGCCCCAAACCAUGAUGCUCCCUCCACCAUACUUUACAGUUGGGAUGAGGUUUAUGAUGUUGGUGUGCUGUGCCUUUUUUUCUCCACACAUAGUGUUGUGUUUUCCUUCCAAACAACUCAACUGUAGUUUAAUCUGUCCACAGAAUAUUUUGUCAGUAGCGCUGUGGAACAUCCAGAUGCUAUUUUGCAAACUUCAGACGUGCAGCAAUGUUUUUUUUGGACAGCAGUGGCUUCUUCCGUGGUGUCCUCCCAUGAACACCAUUCUUGUUUAGUGUUUUACGUAUCGUAGACUCGUCAACAGAGAUGUUAGCAUCUUCCAGAGAUUUCUGUAAGUCUUUAGCUGACACUCUAGGAUUCUUCUUAACCUCAUUGAGCAUUCUGCUCUGUGCUCUUGAAGUCAUUUUUGCAGGAUGGCCACUCCUAGGGAGAGUAGCAACAGUGAUGAACUUUCUCCAUUUAUAGACAAUUAGUCUUACCGUGGACUGAUGAACAUCAAGGCUUUAAGAGAUACUUUUAUAACCCUUUCCAGCUUUAUGCAAGUCAACGAUUCUUCUCUUUUGUUUGAGGAAUGGUUCACAUCAGGCAAUGCUCCUUGUGAAUAGCAAACUCAAACGCAGCUCUAACCAACAUAUCCAACCUGACAGAGCUUGAGAGGACCUGCAGAGAAGAAUGGGAGAAACUCCCCA